UACGAGGGGGGCAAGCGUUGUUCGGAAUUAUUGGGCGUAAAGCGCGCGCAGGCGGUCCUUUAAGUCUGAUGUGAAAGCCCACGGCUCAACCGUGGAAGGUCAUUGGAAACUGGGGGACUUGAGUACAGAAGAGGAAAGCGGAAUUCCACGUGUAGCGGUGAAAUGCGUAGAGAUGUGGAGGAACACCAGUGGCGAAGGCGGCUUUCUGGUCUGUAACUGACGCUGAGGCGCGAAAGCGUGGGGAGCAAACAGG
rnacentral:rRNA from 1 species